CAUGUCUAAAUACAUCAGCAAUGUCCUCAGUAAAGAUGGUACCAAAACUAAACGUUCGAUCUAACAGUGGAGAUUAUAAUUGGUAAGUUUACACAUUCAGCUUCAAGGCUUAUUUAAAAAUAAUUGCUCCAAUAAGACGCUCACUUUCUUUUUUUCUAAUAACUCGAUGAACCUUUCAGGAUCCUUGGUGAUAUGUUUUGGGACAACGACGAUGUUUCUUCCUUGUAGCAAAGGUCCCCAAAUUUCUGGGAUACUGUCAACGAAAGUCAGCGCCGUUUUGAAAACACAGGUUUUUUCGGAUGCCGAAUAAGGCAGCUCUCUCCACUGCCAGCGAAGACGGUUCAUCAUCGCUGAAUGCAGCAGCCUCACACCUAGCCAAACGAAAACCCAACAGGUGUGUUGCGUGGCCUCCGCUAUGGAUACUACGGGAAUGUAAAGAACCUUUGAAGUAGCCCUGGCUUUUAUACCAAACUGCAGACUGGUAAGGGGCUUUUGCGCGGGGAUAUACACUACUUAUAUGUAUGUACAUGUACGUACCUAUCGGGAGAUAUAAAAGUAUUCACGUUGAUCAUCGUCUCUAUCGUUAAGUACACGCCAACUCGGUACAACCUACGAAAGAGGCAAAGAAAGGAAAAAUUUAGAAAAAAAACAUAAAUAAAUGAAAACUAUCAUUUGUAUCGGAAUAAAUCGAUAGGUACAAUUUUAUAUUAUAUACACGUCAUGAAUAAUUAUUGUAAGAUCGGAGUUGAGAAACAUACGGAACUGUUCAAG
rnacentral:misc_RNA from 1 species